rnacentral:rRNA from 1 species
UGGUGGAGUGAUUUGUCUGGUUGAUUCCGUUAACGAACGAGAUCUUGACCCUUCAAUGACAGUCAGAUCGCUGUAACUCCGGUGUUGCAGUGCUAACGCUUCGGUGUUGCACGCUCACUGGAUGAGAUCUGCACAUGUACUCAAGGGGACAAUGCAUGAAUACCAAUGCGUGGAAGUCCGAGCCAAUAGCA